GCCUGGAGCCCGAAGACGGCCGGAGCUGAAACCGGUCACUAGACACUGUCCAAACUGGGCAGAGGAGGGGGAAGCGCCCAGAGAGUGGGGCAGACCUGCAGGACAUUUUUAUUAGCACUUGGAGGAUCUCCUGGCAUUGGGCUACCCUAUCCAAGGAUAACAGCCUCAGUGGACAGUGUGGCCACCUCAGUGAUGCAAGGGAAAUGGCUGAGGCCAGAGUGAAGAUUGAAAUGGAUAAAGAAAACAGAAGUGAAGGCAAUUUUGAAGAUUUGAAUUUA